UACGAAGGGGGCUAGCGUUGUUCGGAAUUACUGGGCGUAAAGCGCACGUAGGCGGACUAUUAAGUCAGGGGUGAAAUCCCGGGGCUCAACCCCGGAACUGCCUUUGAUACUGGUAGUCUAGAGUCCGGAAGAGGUGAGUGGAAUUCCGAGUGUAGAGGUGAAAUUCGUAGAUAUUCGGAAGAACACCAGUGGCGAAGGCGGCUCACUGGACCGGUAUUGACGCUGAGGUGCGAAAGCGUGGGGAGCAAACAGG
rnacentral:rRNA from 1 species